rnacentral:sRNA from 1 species
UGUGCACAAAAAAUAUUAAUAAAGAAGAGAAAUGCUGAAUUCCUGACGGGAAUUUUGGUUGAGUGAAUCCAAUGUCUCCAUCCAGGGCCUGUUAGGCUCUUAUUGAUGGGCAAGGACAAGCCUCUGGGUCUAAGUGCAUUAGCAGGAUAUAACCCAUUCCUCCCUUUCCAUACAGAUGCUGUGUCUGAUUGGUCUCCUAUGCAUGAAGCUGCAAUCCACGGACAUCAGCUGUCUCUGAGGAACCUCAUCAGCCAGGGGUGGCCUGUGAACAUCAUCACGGCAGAUCAUGUUUCCCCACUCCAUGAAGCCUGUCUUGGAGGUCAUCCCUCUUGUGUAAAGAUUUUAUUAAAGCAUGGAGCUCAGGUGAAUGGUGUGACAACAGACUGGCACACUCCACUGUUUAAUGCUUGUGUCAGCGGCAGCCGGGAUUGUGUGAAUUUGCUUCUGCAGCACGGAGCCAGCGUUCAACCUGAGAGUGAUCUGGCAUCCCCCAUCCAUGAAGCUGCUAGGAGAGCUUAUGGGGGCAACAUUGACCAUAAGAUCAGCCACCUGGGCACUCCACUCUAUUUGGCUUGUCAAAACC